GAUGAACGCUGGCGGCGUGCCUAAUACAUGCAAGUCGAGCGAACAGACGAGGAGCUUGCUCCUUUGACGUUAGCGGCGGACGGGUGAGUAACACGUAGGUAACCUACCUAUAAGACUGGGAUAACUUCGGGAAACCGGAGCUAAUACCGGAUAAUAUUUCGAACCGCAUGGUUCGAUAGUGAAAGAUGGCUUUGCUAUCACUUAUAGCUGGACCUGCGCCGUAUUAGCUAGUUGGUAAGGUAACGGCUUACCAAGGCAACGAUACGUAGCCGACCUGAGAGGGUGAUCGGCCACACUGGAACUGAGACACGGUCCAGACUCCGACGGGAGGCAGAAGUAGGGAAUCUUCCGCAAUGGGCGAAAGCCUGACGGAGCAACGCCGCGUGAGUGAUGAAGGUCUUCGGAUCGUAAAACUCUGUUAUUAGGGAAGAACAAACGUGUAAGUAACUGUGCACGUCUUGACGGAACCUAAUCAGAAAGCCACGGCUAACUACGU
rnacentral:rRNA from 1 species